rnacentral:lncRNA from 1 species
CACUUUCAAAGAAAAGUCAAAGGGGAAAUGUCAUGGUAAGCUUCUGAACUGAUAUUUCAUAAUAAAUGAGACACUUGUUAGCAAUAUCUUUCCAUUGGCUUUCUCUCCUUACAGUAGUAUAGCAAGCAUAUUGUGUCCUGUAUACUUGAUGAAACUGGAAGCUUGUGCGGCAAAACCUUUUUACUUGGGACCCUCUGCGUAUUCACUCUCUACCUCAGUGCCUCACAUCCAGCAGUUGAUUUAAAAUGAUUCAUUUAUUGUAAAGGUAAAAUUUUUAAAAAUAAUAGUUCAAUCCCUUUUAAAACAAUAUUCUAUUUACUUCAAAUAGUCUCACUGCUAGCACUUGAGCAGUACUUUCUUUACAAGCUUUCCUUUUGAUUGACUAAAUAGUUAUUUCAUGUCUACUUACAAUUUGCUGGUUGCAUUUUCUUUUUGAGCUCACUUCAAGUAAUCUAUAUGGAUUUUUAGCUGAACUUCCAUUCUUCUUGUCAGAGGAUAAAUUAUUGUUCUUACUUGAUAAUGUUCAAUAAGAAUUGAUGUUUUAUAUCUAUUGAUAAAUUUUGGCCUUCAUAUACCUUUAUGCAAAAUCAUUUAAAAAAAUAUAAUGUAAAUCAUUCUCAAAAAUCUCUCAAGAAAAGCUGGUAGAUGAUAUAGUGAGUUGUGAAGGAGAGAAUGAAGGGAUUUAAAGAAUAAAACCAAAUAGCCUUGACCGCAUAUUGCCAGAACAGAGUUUUAGUCAGUUCAAUCUAAAACACAUUAAAUGGCUACAUGAGUUAUAAAUUGUUAAUAAUUAGUUAUCAUUUCUAAUUUUCAACAAAUUCCUCUAACAUUCUUCAUAUAUGAGAAAACAUAGAAUGGUGAGAUCCAUUUCUGAUAAGCAUCUCUCUAUAGGCAGUAUUCAUUAGACCACUGGGCUAAUGUAAUACCAAUAGUGAUAUUUUAUUUCAUGUAUACAAACUUUAUUUUUAUGCAAAAUAGACCAUUAUUUCUGAAACUACCAUCCAUCAGUUACAGGGAGAGAACAUGAAGAUGAUUUAGAAAUUCAUCCCCACUAAAGGAGAAAUAUUGAAAAAUAGUUUAAACCUGUGCCUGCUGGUGCUACAACUGUAGAGCUAUUUCCAUUUGACAAGAUCACCAUGCUGUUUCGGUUACCUGAGAAUUCUGUUUUCUCUUUUAAUAAUUGUCAUUUUAUUCUCCCUUACAUCUAGGCUAGUGUCUCAUACAUGGUAGGUGCCGGGGUCCAGCCCCGGUGGAUCCAGGGAAUUUGAAGGUGGGGGGAUGGAGUUGGCAUCUUUGGAAAACUGCAUAUUUAAUUACAGAUAUAUAGAGAGAUUAGAAACGGAUAGUGUAGU